rnacentral:lncRNA from 1 species
UUUUGGCAUAAUUGUAAUCAUUAUAGAAGCAAUAAUGCGUGUCUGGGUAAUUCAUGUUACCAUUGUGCCAAUGUCAUUUACCAAGUAAUAGUCCAAAACGUCAUUAUAUUAUAUAAAUAUUGAUGGCAUUUGAAGGGAGUAGAUUCUCUGCCAUGAAGUAGGUGUGAAAUUUCAACCAUAGGAUAAAAAAUUAAAAAUUAAAAAUCUAAAAAAUAUAAACGAAUGAAAUUUUAAAGUUGUA